UGGACAGAUUAUUGUAUUCGACUGUAUUCACGGCAUGAAAUAGGGGAUUAUACUGUUUUUAAAAUGGAAAGUGAAUCAAUUAACAUAAUAGACUCCU
rnacentral:pre_miRNA from 1 species